UGGGGAAUUUUGGACAAUGGGCGAAAGCCUGAUCCAGCAAUGCCGCGUGUGUGAAGAAGGCCUUCGGGUUGUAAAGCACUUUUGUCCGGAAAGAAAUCCUUGGCUCUAAUACAGUCGGGGGAUGACGGUACCGGAAGAAUAAGCACCGGCUAACUACGUGCCAGCAGCCGCGGUAAUACGUAGGGUGCAAGCGUUAAUCGGAAUUACUGGGCGUAAAGCGUGCGCAGGCGGUUUGCUAAGACCGAUGUGAAAUCCCCGGGCUCAACCUGGGAACUGCAUUGGUGACUGGCAGGCUAGAGUAUGGCAGAGGGGGGUAGAAUUCCACGUGUAGCAGUGAAAUGCGUAGAGAUGUGGAGGAAUACCGAUGGCGAAGGCAGCCCCCUGGGCCAAUACUGACGCUCAUGCACGAAAAGCGUGGGGGAGCAAAACAGGAUUAGAUACCCUGGUAGUCCACGCCCUAAACGAUGUCAACUAGUUGUUGGGGAUUCAUUCCUUAGUAACGUAGCUAACGCGUGAAGUUGACCGCCUGGGGAGUACGGUCGCAAGAUUAAAACUCAAAGGAAUUGACGGGGUCNUAGCU
rnacentral:rRNA from 1 species